CAAGUGACCCCGGUCUAACCACCGGGAUGUUCAUAACCCUUUGUUGUCCGACUCUGUUGCCUCCGGGGCGACCCUGCCUUCGGGCGGGGGCUCCGGGUGGACACUUCAAACUCUUGCGUAACUUUGCAGUCUGAGUAAACUUAAUUAAUAAAUUAAAACUUUUAACAACGGAUCUCUUGGUUCUGGCAUCGAUGAAGAACGCAGCGAAAUGCGAUAAGUAAUGUGAAUUGCAGAAUUCAGUGAAUCAUCGAAUCUUUGAACGCACAUUGCGCCCCCUGGUAUUCCGGGGGGCAUGCCUGUUCGAGCGUCAUUUCACCACUCAAGCCUCGCUUGGUAUUGGGCAACGCGGUCCGCCGCGUGCCUCAAAUCGACCGGCUGGGUCUUCUGUCCCCUAAGCGUUGUGGAAACUAUUCGCUAAAGGGUGCUCGGGAGGCUACGCCGUAAAACAAACCCAUUUCUAAGGUUGACCUCGGAUCAGGUAGGGAUA
rnacentral:rRNA from 1 species